GUGUUCACAUCCACAGCGCAUACACUAAAACUGGAAUGAUACAGAGAAGAUUAACAUGGCCCUCCCACAAGGAUGACACGCAAAUUCAUGGAACGUUCAAUUUUUNA
rnacentral:snRNA from 1 species